CAUGCAAGUCGAACGGAAAGGCCCUUCGGGGUACUCGAGUGGCGAACGGGUGAGUAACACGUGGGUGAUCUGCCCUGCACUUUGGGAUAAGCCUGGGAAACUGGGUCUAAUACCGAAUAUGACCGCGCACUUCCUGGUGUGUGGUGGAAAGCUUUUGCGGUGUGGGAUGGGCCCGCGGCCUAUCAGCUUGUUGGUGGGGUAAUGGCCUACCAAGGCGACGACGGGUAGCCGGCCUGAGAGGGUGACCGGCCACACUGGGACUGAGAUACGGCCCAGACUCCUACGGGAGGCAGCAGUGGGGAAUAUUGCACAAUGGGCGCAAGCCUGAUGCAGCGACGCCGCGUGAGAGAUGACGGCCUUCGGGUUGUAAACCUCUUUCAAUAGGGACGAAGCGCAAGUGACGGUACCUAUAGAAGAAGGACCGGCCAACUACGUGCCAGCAGCCGCGGUAAUACGUAGGGUCCGAGCGUUGUCCGGAAUUACUGGGCGUAAAGAGCUCGUAGGUGGUUUGUCGCGUUGUUCGUGAAAACUCACA
rnacentral:rRNA from 1 species